AUUGAACGCUGGCGGCAGGCCUAACACAUGCAAGUCGAACGGUAGCACAGAGAGCUUGCUCUCGGGUGACGAGUGGCGGACGGGCGAGUAAUGUCUGGGAAACUGCCCGAUGGAGGGGGAUAACUACUGGAAACGGUAGCUAAUACCGCAUAACGUCGCAAGACCAAAGUGGGGGACCUUCGGGCCUCACACCAUCGGAUGUGCCCAGAUGGGAUUAGCUAGUAGGUGGGGUAAUGGCUCACCUAGGCGACGAUCCCUAGCUGGUCUGAGAGGAUGACCAGCCACACUGGAAAUGAGACACGGUCCAGACUCCUACGGGAGGCAGCAGUGGGGAAUAUUGCACAAUGGGCGCAAGCCUGAUGCAGCCAUGCCGCGUGUAUGAAGAAGGCCUUCGGGUUGUAAAGUACUUUCAGCGGGGAGGAAGGCGGUGAAGUUAAUAGCUUCACCGAUUGACGUUACCCGCAGAAGAAGCACCGGCUAACUCCGUGCCAGCCGCCGCAGUAA
rnacentral:rRNA from 1 species